UUGGAGGGCAAGUCUGGUGCCAGCAGCCGCGGUAAUUCCAGCUCCAAUAGCGUAUAUUAAAGUUGUUGCAGUUAAAAAGCUCGUAGUUGAAUUUCGGGGUUAGUAGAUUGGUCAUGCCAUCGGUAUGCACUGGUCUCACUGAUUCCUCCUUCCUGAUGAGCCGUAAUGCCAUUAAUUUGGUGUUGCGGGGAAUUUGGACUGUUACUUUGAAAAAAUUAGAGUGUUUAAAGCAAGCUAACGCUUGAAUACAUUAGCAUGGAAUAAUGAAGUAGGACGUUCGAUCCUAUUUUGUUGGUUUCUAGGAUUGACGUAAUGAUUAAUAGGGAUAGUUGGGGGCAUUAGUAUUCAAUUGUCAGAGGUGAAAUUCUUGGAUUUAUUGAAGACUAACUACUGCGAAAGCAUUUGCCAAGGAUGUUUUCAUUAAUCAAGAACGAAAGUUAGGGGAUCGAAGACGAUCAGAUACCGUCGUAGUCUUAACCAUAAACUAUGCCGACUAGGGAUCGGAUGAUGUUAAUUUUUUAAUGACUCAUUCGGCGCCUUACGGGAAAC
rnacentral:rRNA from 1 species